AGUCUUAUAUUCAAAAAUGAUUUGAAAUUGCAAAUUUUAAGGAGUAAAAAAGUUCUUUACUAAGGCUU
rnacentral:tRNA from 1 species